UUGAACGCUGGCGGCAGGCCUAACACAUGCAAGUCGAACGGUAACAGGAAGCAGCUUGCUGCUUUGCUGACGAGUGGCGGACGGGUGAGUAAUGUCUGGGAAACUGCCUGAUGGAGGGGGAUAACUACUGGAAACGGUAGCUAAUACCGCAUAACGUCGCAAGACCAAAGAGGGGGACCUUAGGGCCUCUUGCCAUCGGAUGUGCCCAGAUGGGAUUAGCUAGUAGGUGGGGUAACGGCUCACCUAGGCGACGAUCCCUAGCUGGUCUGAGAGGAUGACCAGCCACACUGGAACUGAGACACGGUCCAGACUCCUACGGGAGGCAGCAGUGGGGAAUAUUGCACAAUGGGCGCAAGCCUGAUGCAGCCAUGCCGCGUGUAUGAAGAAGGCCUUCGGGUUGUAAAGUACUUUCAGCGGGGAGGAAGGGAGUAAAGUUAAUACCUUUGCUCAUUGACGUUACCCGCAGAAGAAGCACCGGCUAACUCCGUGCCAGCAGCCGCGGUAAUACGGAGGGUGCAAGCGUUAAUCGGAAUUACUGGGCGUAAAGCGCACGCAGGCGGUUUGUUAAGUCAGAUGUGAAAUCCCCGGGCUCAACCUGGGAACUGCAUCUGAUACUGGCAAGCUUGAGUCUCGUAGAGGGGGGUAGAAUUCCAGGUGUAGCGGUGAAAUGCGUAGAGAUCUGGAGGAAUACCGGUGGCGAAGGCGGCCCCCUGGACGAAGACUGACGCUCAGGUGCGAAAGCGUGGGGAGCAAACAGGAUUAGAUACCCUGGUAGUCCACGCCGUAAACGAUGUCGACUUGGAGGUUGUGCCCUUGAGGCGUGGCUUCCGGAGCUAACGCGUUAAGUCGACCGCCUGGGGAGUACGGCCGCAAGGUUAAAACUCAAAUGAAUUGACGGGGGCCCGCACAAGCGGUGGAGCAUGUGGUUUAAUUCGAUGCAACGCGAAGAACCUUACCUGGUCUUGACAUCCACGGAAGUUUUCAGAGAUGAGAAUGUGCCUUCGGGAACCGUGAGACAGGUGCUGCAUGGCUGUCGUCAGCUCGUGUUGUGAAAUGUUGGGUUAAGUCCCGCAACGAGCGCAACCCUUAUCCUUUGUUGCCAGCGGUCCGGCCGGGAACUCAAAGGAGACUGCCAGUGAUAAACUGGAGGAAGGUGGGGGUGACGUCAAGUCAUCAUGGCCCUUACGACCAGGGCUACACACGUGCUACAAUGGCGCAUACAAAGAGAAGCGACCUCGCGAGAGCAAGCGGACCUCAUAAAGUGCGUCGUAGUCCGGAUUGGAGUCUGCAACUCGACUCCAUGAAGUCGGAAUCGCUAGUAAUCGUGGAUCAGAAUGCCACGGUGAAUACGUUCCCGGGCCUUGUACACACCGCCCGUCACACCAUGGGAGUGGGUUGCAAAAGAAGUAGGUAGCUUAACCUUCGGGAGGGCGCUUACCACUUUGUGAUUCAUGACUGGGGUG
rnacentral:rRNA from 1 species